CUCCCUGUGAGAAUGCCCUAUAUAUUCCCCUCCCGGAAAAAAGGAGCAGACAUUAGGCACAACUCAAUGUUAGCCCACAACGUCUUGCUUAGCCACACCCCCAAGGGAACUCAGCAGUAAUAAACAUUAAGCAAUAAGUGAAAGCUUGACUUAGUUAAAACCAAGAGGGCCGGUAAAACUCGUGCCAGCCACCGCGGUUAUACGAGGGGCCCAAGUUGAUAAACGCCGGCGUAAAAUGUGGUUAACAUACUAUUGCACUAAAGCCAAACAUCUUCAAAGAUGUUAUACCCAUAUGAAGACAGGAAGCACUUCCACGAAAGUGGCUUUAAAUAAUGUUAUCCACGAAAGCUAGGAGACAAACUGGGAUUAGAUACCCCACUAUGCCUAGCCUUAAACACAAGUGAACACUUACACCUUUCGCUUGCCAGGGAACUACGAGCCCCAGCUUAAAACCCAAAGGACUUGGCGGUGCUUUAGACCCCCCUAGAGGAGCCUGUUCUAGAACCGAUAAUCCCCGUUAAACCUCACCUUCUCUUGUUUAUCCC
rnacentral:rRNA from 1 species